rnacentral:rRNA from 1 species
CGGGUGAGUAACACGUGGAUAACCUACCUAUAAGACUGGGAUAACUUCGGGAAACCGGAGCUAAUACCGGAUAAUAUAUUGAACCGCAUGGUUCAAUGGUGAAAGACGGUUUUGCUGUCACUUAUAGAUGGAUCCGCGCCGCAUUAGCUAGUUGGUAAGGUAACGGCUUACCAAGGCAACGAUGCGUAGCCGACCUGAGAGGGUGAUCGGCCACACUGGAACUGAGACACGGUCCAG